AAAGGAGAAGGAGGUAUGGGCUUUAGAGAUUUGAGAAUAUUUAAUCAAGCGCUUUUGGCGAAACAGGCUUGGCGUUUAUUGGUUUUUCCGGACUCGUUAUGUGCAAAGGUGAUGAAAGCAAAGUAUUAUCCUCAUGGGUAUUUGCUAGACACUGUAUUCCCUCAUGUGACAUCGACUACUUGGCAAGGUAUUAUGCAUGGUAUUGAGCUGCUGAAAAAGGGGGUCAUUUGGAGAGUUCGCGACGGUGCAAAUAUAAAUAUAUGGAGAGACAAUUGGCUUCCUAAAGAUUCGGGUCUUCAAAUUUCUGCAAAAAAGAACAGAACUAGACUCAAAUGUGUGUCUGAGUUAUUCAUUGGUGGCUCAACAAGAUGGGAUGAGAAUCUUAUUCGGCAUCUGUUCUUUCCACAUGAUGCUGACGAAGUUUUGAAGUUGCGUGUUCUGACUGUUGGUGAGCCGUGA
rnacentral:rRNA from 1 species